rnacentral:rRNA from 1 species
UUGGAGGGCAAGUCUGGUGCCAGCAGCCGCGGUAAUUCCAGCUCCAAUAGCGUAUAUUAAAGUUGUUGCAGUUAAAAAGCUCGUAGUUGAAUUUCGGGAUCAAUUUAUCGGUCGUGCCUACGGUAUGAACUGGUACAAUUGGUUUCUCCCUUCUGACGAAGCAUGAUGUCAUUAAUUUGGUGUCGUGGGGAAUCAGGACUGUUACUUUGAAAAAAUUAGAGUGUUUAAAGCAAGCAUUAACUUGAAUACAUUAGCAUGGAAUAAUGAAAUAGGACGUUUGAUCCUAUUUCGUUGGUUUCUAGGAUCGACGUAAUGAUUAAUAGGGAUAGUUGGGGGCAUUAGUAUUCAAUUGUCAGAGGUGAAAUUCUUGGAUUUAUUGAAGACUAACUACUGCGAAAGCAUUUGCCAAGGAUGUUUUCAUUAAUCAAGAACGAAAGUUAGGGGAUCGAAGACGAUCAGAUACCGUCGUAGUCUUAACCAUAAACUAUGCCGACUAGGGAUCGGAUGAUGUUAAUUUUUUAAUGACUCAUUCGGCGCCUUACGGGAAAC